rnacentral:misc_RNA from 1 species
GAGUUAAUAAAGUGAUGUUCUGUUCUGUUCUGUUCUGUUCCUAAAAAAAGUCUUUCAAAUCAAAUACAACUGGGCCUGAAGCAUCACCGGGAAGCAGCCAUUCAACACUAUGCUGAUGAUGGAUGUUGUUCCGACCGGAACAAAUGGGACAUUUUCUUCUCCUGAUCUUAUGGAAUUUAACAUAAUUCGGCUAAACGUAUGGUCAAGAAAUUAGGAUUUAACUUAAGGAUGAAUUUGGAAAUUUUGGGCAUUCCAUACUGGCAACAUCGUCAUUCUUGGUUGGCGGAUUCGAGUAUGGGGAAUUUCAGGGCUUUGUCGAUAACAAUGAUUUAGCCCCUGUCGGUUACAUAGUCUACAUUCUAUUUUUAUUUAUUACGAUUAUCGUCUUAAACCUGAUGAUCGGUGAAGCAGUGGAAAAUGUUGAAAAAAUACACAAACGUGCAUGUGAUACCAGAUUUGCUCUACAGAUUAAAUACGUUUUGGAAUUCGAAGGAAUCAUAUGUUUUGUCAGUUCCAAACUGAAGACACAUUGCGGCAUCUUCAAAUUGAAGAAAUGGUUUAUUCUCAAUCCAAACGAAACAAUCCGGCUGAAAGAUCUUAAAUCAAGAGGACUUCAGGAUCUGAUAGAUAAGACCAAGUCAACAGAAGGACCAAGACGGUUUACAUGAAAAAAUGAACACAAUAGACAUGACUGGUGAAAUCACUACUAUCAAAGAUGAAAUUCUGAAUGUGAAGGAAAUUUUGAGGCUGCAAAGCAAAGAAAUGACUAAUACAAACAAAAGAAUGAACAAAAUAGAGACUGAACUAAGUACCAUUAAAGACGAUGUUCUGAGUAUCAAGGAAAUGCUGAGGUUACUUAGCAAAGACUUGGCUAAUACAAACAAAACAUCAACGGACCUGAACUGACUUGAAAGAUUCAAAUGGCUUUCAAAUGGCUUUUAUGUGAGACAAUCCUAUUGUAUGCUAUCAAAAUAGUAUUCAUACUACCAGAUUCACAUAUUAUUGAUACAUAUUUGAAUAGUAAUAAUAGAUAAGUCAGUUGUGCAUCUAAAUUAAAAGUCACUUUAUAAAUUCUAAAAAGCGAUGGCAACCGUUGAAACAUAACGCUGUAAACCAGCACUAGCUAAGAGGAUGAAUAUUUUAAUGAUUUAACUUAACUAGAUUCGUUUUAACUUAUAUCAACUUUUAACUUAUAUAUUGCCCUUACUACCUUAAAACUUCUAAGGUUCACUUUGGAUACGCACCGUCUCAAAAGUUUGUUUACAAAUUUUAACAUUUGAAAGCUUAAAAAGCAUCAGUGGUUUUUGGUCAAACUAAUGAAAAAAAUGUUGGAGUAUUUUGACUCAAUAAAACUUAAAUAUUUUGUUUUCAUGAAAAACUGAUGUAGAUAUCUUAGCUCAAACUGAUAAGAUUCCUUGGCUUGAACUUGUUCUUUUUCAUUAUAUUCUUCGAUGCACGUCUGAUGUCCAACGGGUGCAUGUACACCGCACACAUGACACUACUAGUGUAAACAAUCGAGAAGCUUAUCAUUUUAGAUCAGUUAGGAUCUGGAUGAAAUAAAAAACGAUAUCGGAAAAAGGAAACCUGAUACUUACAGAGUUAUAAAAGAUUUUUUUUUUCAUCAAGUAAAUUAAAGUUAUUUUUUCAGCUAAGUUUUUAGUGUUGGAGUCGCAGUCAUUUAAGAAUAUACGAACGGUUUCAUAAUUUAGCUUCGUUGCUUCAUAUACUUCUGACAUGUUUAAUUAUAUAAUAUAUAUUUACUUAAUGAUCAUAUGUCAAUGUACUUCAUGCUUUUGGUUAUGUGGUAGUUAUUUGUUUACUUGUUAUAUUUCUCUUUGCUCAUAAGUCGUUAGAGAAUUAACAUAUGUAUUUUUGCUGAGCUGCAGUUAGAUGCUUUACUCCCUA